UGAAGAAGGUCUUCGGAUUGUAAAGCACCUUAAGUUGGGAGGAAGGGUACUUACCUAAUACGUGAGUAUUUUGACGUUACCGACAGGAAUAAGCACCGGCUAACUCUGUGCCAGCAGGCCGCGGGUAAUACAGAGGGUGCAAGCGUUAACCGGAAUUACUGGGCGUAAAGCGCGCGUAGGUGGUUUCGUUAAGUGGGAUGUGAAAUCCCCGGGCUCAACCUGGGAACCUGCAUCCCAAAACUGGCGAGCUAGAGUAUGGUAGAGGGUGGUGGAAUUUCCUGUGUAGCGGUGAAAUGCGUAGAUAUAGGAAGGAACACCAGUGGCGAAGGCGACCACCUUGGACUGAUACUUGACACUGAAGGUGCGAAAGCGUGGGGAGCAAACAGG
rnacentral:rRNA from 1 species